rnacentral:rRNA from 1 species
UAGGGGAAUCUUUCUGCAAUGGGGGGAACCCUGNCCGAGCAACGCCGCGUUGAGUGAAGAAGGUUUUCGGAUCGUAAAGCUCUGUUGUUAAAGGAAGAACGAGUGUGAGAAUGGAAAAGUUCAUACUGUGACGGUACUUUAACCAGAAAGGGACGGCUAACUACGUGCCAGCAGCCGCGGUAAUACGUAGGUCCCGAGCGUUGUCCGGAUUUAUUGGGCGUAAAGCGAGCGCAGGCGGUUAGAUAAGUCUGAAGUUAAAGGCAGUGGCUCAACCAUUGUAGGCUUUGGAAACUGUUUAACUUGAGUGCAGAAGGGGAGAGUGGAAUUCCAUGUGUAGCGGUGAAAUGCGUAGAUAUAUGGAGGAACACCGGUGGCGAAAGCGGCUCUCUGGUCUGUAACUGACGCUGAGGCUCGAAAGCGUGGGGAGCGAACAGGAUUAGAUACCCUGGUAGUCCACGCCGUAAACGAUGAGUGCUAGGUGUUAGGUCCUUUCCGGGACUUAGUGCCGCAGCUAACGCAUUAAGCACUCCGCCUGGGGAGUACGACCGCAAGGUUUGA